GGCCCCGUAGCUCAACUGGAUAGAGUGCCGGUUUCCGAAACCGUAGGUUGGAGGUUCGAACCCUCUCGAGGCCA
rnacentral:tRNA from 1 species